rnacentral:rRNA from 1 species
AUACGGAGGGUGCAAGCGUUAUUCGGAAUCACUGGGCGUAAAGGACGCGUAGGCGGGUUGGCAAGUCAGAUGUGAAAUACUACAGCUUAACUGUAGAACUGCAUUUGAAACUGCUAACCUAGAGUAUGGGAGGGGGAGAUGGAAUUAGCGGUGUAGGGGUAAAAUCCGUAGAUAUCACUAGGAAUACCGAAAGCGAAGGCGAUCUCCUGGAACAUAACUGACGCUAAGGCGUGAAAGCGUGGGGAGCAAACAGGAUUAGAAACCCGAGUAGUCC